rnacentral:rRNA from 1 species
CCUACGGGGGGCAGCAGUGGGGAAUAUUGCGCAAUGGGCGAAAGCCUGACGCAGCGACGCCGCGUGAGGGAUGAAGGUCUUCGGAUCGUAAACCUCUGUCAGCAGGGAAGAACGGUCACUGUGCUAAUCAGCAGUGAAUUGACGGUACCUGCAAAGGAAGCACCGGCUAACUCCGUGCCAGCAGCCGCGGUAAUACGGAGGGUGCGAGCGUUAAUCGGAAUUACUGGGCGUAAAGGGAGCGCAGGAGGCUUUGCACGUCUGCUGUGAAAGGCCAGGGCUCAACC